GCCCAGCCCCUGCAUAAGAUUCUUGAGAACUGUCUUCCAAUAUGAAGUUCAAGUUCAAACAUUAUCGGGAAUCCCUUCAUGGCUCUCAAUCUCACCAUUCAAGACAAUGACUCUGUUUGGGAUUAUUUUGGUUCAAACUCUCCUCUUUUAGCAGCAAUGAUCACCACUUCCCUUCGUGCUUCUUUGAAGAUAGGAUCCUGUUACCCUGAACCCCGUGGGCAGCAUCCCGUGGGAGGGAGGAGCCCGACAGGUGUCUCCAGGUGGAGGUUCUAAAGGCCUCCUCAACCACUGAGUCUCUCCUAGACACGAGGUGCCCUUCAAGCAGCAGCCAGUCUUCCCUCCCCGACCAGGAGCGGGAAGCUUCUCCAGUGUCCUGGCGAAUCCCCUUUGUGCUCCUCAUCCCCUUUCAUCCAAGUCGUGUGUGAGGGUGCAUCUGGCUGAUUUCCAGGUGAUGCUGGACACGUGCAGGUGAAGCCUGGGGAGCUGCUACAAGAGCCAGGGGUCAAAUCCCUGUGACAAGUGGCACUUCCACCAAGAACCACCAAGCAAAAGAGGAGAGGCUCUACAAAUAUCAAUAUCAGCAAUGACAAAGGUAAUAGGUGAAGGGAUCCUACACACAUUAAAGUGAUGAUAAAGAUAUUGCAGGAAAUGUAUACACUAGAAAUAAUUUCAAUAUUCAAAAUUUGAAAAUUUAGAGAGACAAAACUGAAAAUUCUUAGAAAAGAUCAUCAAACACAAAAUAUGGGAUGCAAGGAAUGGAAAAUCUGAGUAGUUAUAUAUUUAAUAAAGGAAACUUCAGCUUUACAUAACUUUACCAGUUAAUUCUUCCAAACAUUUAAGAAAGAAAUAUCAACAAUCUUAUAUAAGCCCUUCCAGAAAAUAACAAAGAGGAGCAAGCAAACCUACUCGCUUUAGAAAAGCCAUAGGUCUUUAUAUCAAAGAACAUGGCAAAAGUAAAAUCAUAAUUCCUCUGAUUAUAAAUCUAAAACCCAUAUUGAAUAUUAGCAACUAAACACUAAUGAUAUAUUAAAAAUUAAAGUUUAAAACACUGCAGCAAAAUUUGGUAGAAAUGGUGAGUUAGUUUAGCUUGAGAAUUUAUAAUUCUGAAGUCCUCAAAAUUAUCAGAAAAGAGGGAGAAAACAUAUUUCACCUCAGUAGUUCAGAAAAAUAUUUAUUAAAAAUAUUUUCUAAUAAAACUGCUAGCAUUCUGAAAAGAGAAGAAAAUUUCCUUAACUCUGUAAAGUUUAUCUGCAACAAGCUGCAAGGCACAUCCGUUCUACGUGGUGACGUGCUGAAAGCUUUGUUCCCUGCGCCAGGAAAGGACGAGAGGCCCUCCAACUCCGCAUCCAGGGGAGUGUCAAUCUUCACCGUUCCAGACCCCUGACCAAGGAAUGGAAAUAUUUAGACAUAGCCAAAGAAGGGGGGCUUCUAUUUCAUUGUUCAAAUAUGUCAUGAUAUUUUAUUUUAAAAGUCUAAAAGAAUCUACAGUAAAAGUUUUAAAACUAAUAGAUAAAUCUAACCAGGCUGUUUGGUACCAUAAUAGCAAAGAUGAUUAGAAAAUGAAAAUGUACAGUGAUAUUACACACAAUGUUUUCAAAAAUAUCAAAACAUAAGACUUCACAAAGAAAAUCACAAGUUAGUACUGAAAAAAAAUAAAGAAAAUUUAAAGAUUGAAGUAUUGGAAUAUUCAAUAUAGUAGGAUGUCAGUUCUCUCUAAAAUGAUUGAAGAAUUUUAUGCAAUUUCAAUUAAAAUCCAAUGAAGUAUGUAUUUUGUUAUUUAUUUGGUUUGUUGAAAUUUGGAUUAAGUGUGUAUAAAUUUUAUAGAUCAGUUUGGAGUUAAUUAAUAUCCUGACAAUACUGAAUUUCUACUGUGUGUAAAUGGUUUAUAUCUUCUUUUAUUUAGAUCUUAAUUUCUCUCAGCAAGAUUUUUUGGAGAUUUUGGGUUGUAAUUCUUUCAUGUAUUCUGCUAAAUUAAAACCUAGUUAACUUCAUGAUUUCCUAUUUUCUUCCAAAAUGUUGUAUGUUUCAUGUUCUAAAUGUGGGUCGACGAAUAUGAAAUAUUAAAUUAACAACAAAAUUACCAGACUUAAUUAAUGAAGACGUGCUAUCAUACCUGAGAAGAACUGCUAAUAAUUUUUUUGUAAUUAGCAAUAAAUACCUCAAAAAUUAAUUACAUAAAACUUGAAAUUACUAUUGUUGCAAUUACUGCUAUUUAGAAAACAAUGACCAAGCCUAAAACCUGCAUGUGGCAGAACGAGUUGUAAAAUAACUUGCAAAACCGCUUCACAAUAAUUAGAUCUACAAAACUGAACUUGAUGGAAAAGUGGCCCAAAACAAUAAAUCUCAUCGGCAGAAGGUAA